AUACGGAGGACGCGAGCGUUAUCCGGAUUCAUUGGGUUUAAAGGGUGCGCAGGCGGCCGUGCAAGUCAGCGGUGAAAGCCCGGGGCUCAACCCCGGAAGUGCCGUUGAUACUGCAUGGCUGGAAUGCGGUCGAGGCGGGCGGAAAGGGGCGUGGAGCGGUGAAAUGCGUAGAUAUGCCACAGAACGCCGAUAGCGGAGGCAGCUCGCAAGGCCUGCAUUGACGCUCGGGCACGAAAGCGUGGGGAUCGAACAGGAUUAGAUACCCUGGUAGUCCACGCCGUAAACGAUGGGCGCUCGUCGUCGGCGGCAGACAGUCGGCGGCCAAGCGAAAGCGAUAAGCGCCCCACCUGGGGAGUACGGUCGCAAGGCUGAAACUCAAAUGAAUUGACGGGG
rnacentral:rRNA from 1 species